CCCCAUUGACCAUUAUAGUAAUACUUAAUGAGGGUAAAUGAAAGACCGAAUUAUCGAGACGAAGUGCUUGAUCAUUAAAUUCUGAAUUCAAGUAUAAUGAACUUAUAUGUUGUUUCAUACUUAUUAUAUGUUUUCUCUUGAAACUGAGCAUCCUUUUGGUUACAGGAUAUAUAUGAGUAACAUUAAGUAACAGUUUAAAUUUUUUUUUAAAGCUAUUGACAGCAGCACAUGUAAUAGCUUUAUUUUCUUCAUUUAUAACUGUCUUCCCCGCAAAAAGAUAAGGUAUAGUAUAUGAAACUUGUAAAAAUCCAGUAUAACGUUCCACAUCAAAAUCAUAUUGUAAACGCAGAUUAUGACGAGUAUAAUUUAUCACACUUGAGUAUUGACAAGAAGGUAAUAUAAAUAGAGGAUUUGUUAUACGUUUAGUACCUUGGAUACAGCGAAGAAACAACUCAAAAUUUUCAGCUUCAGUUUUCUCAAAUGUAGUUUUUAUAUAGCGAGUAGUUUCGUCCAUUUUAAUUAUUAAUUAAUAAAUUAGUAAGAUAAAAUAAUUUGUUGAUUAAAUAGCCCUGAAACAUGUAUCGUAUUAAAAAAAUAAAAUAAAAUCAGUAUGUCCUA
rnacentral:lncRNA from 1 species